rnacentral:rRNA from 1 species
UACAGAGGAGCCAAGCGUUGUCCGGAUUGACUGGGCGUAAAGCGCACGCAGGCGGAUGCGCGCGUGGGGUGUGAAAUCUGGCCGCUUAACGGCCAGGCGCCAUCCCAUACGGCGCGUCUGGAGCCUUGCAGAGGUCGGUGGAAUUGCCGGUGUAGUGGUGAAAUGCGUAGAGAUCGGCAGGAACACCCAGGGGGGAAACCAGCCGACUGGGCAAGUGCUGACGCUGAGGUGCGAGAGCGUGGGGAGCGAACAGGAGUUAGAAACCC